rnacentral:rRNA from 1 species
CGGACGGGUGAGUAAUGCUUGGGAACAUGCCUUGAGGUGGGGGACAACAGUUGGAAACGACUGCUAAUACCGCAUAAUGUCUACGGACCAAAGGGGGCUUCGGCUCUCGCCUUUAGAUUGGCCCAAGUGGGAUUAGCUAGUUGGUGAGGUAAUGGCUCACCAAGGCAACGAUCCCUAGCUGGUUUGAGAGGAUGAUCAGCCACACUGGGACUGAGACACGGCCCAGACUCCUACGGGAGGCAGCAGUGGGGAAUAUUGCACAAUGGGCGCAAGCCUGAUGCAGCCAUGCCGCGUGUGUGAAGAAGGCCUUCGGGUUGUAAAGCACUUUCAGUCAGGAGGAAAGGUUAGCGGUUAAUACCCGUUAGCUGUGACGUUACUGACAGAAGAAGCACCGGCUAACUCCGUGCCAGCAGCCGCGGUAAUACGGAGGGUGCGAGCGUUAAUCGGAAUUACUGGGCGUAAAGCGUACGCAGGCGGUUUGUUAAGCGAGAUGUGAAAGCCCCGGGCUCAACCUGGGAACUGCAUUUCGAACUGGCAAACUAGAGUGUGAUAGAGGGUGGUAGAAUUUCAGGUGUAGCGGUGAAAUGCGUAGAGAUCUGAAGGAAUACCGAUGGCGAAGGCAGCCACCUGGGUCAACACUGACGCUCAUGUACGAAAGCGUGGGGAGCAAACGGGAUUAGAUACCCCGGUAGUCCACGCCGUAAACGAUGUCUACUAGAAGCUCGGGUCCUCGGACUUGUUUUCAAAGCUAACGCAUUAAGU